rnacentral:rRNA from 1 species
UACGGGGGGAGCAAGCGUUGUUCGGAUUUACUGGGCGUAAAGGGCGCGUAGGCGGCCUCCGCAAGUCAGUUGUGAAAUCUCCGGGCUUAACCCGGAAAGGUCAACUGAUACUGCGGGGCUAGAGUGCAGAAGGGGCAACCGGAAUUCUCGGUGUAGCGGUGAAAUGCGUAGAUAUCGAGAGGAACACCUGCGGCGAAGGCGGGUUGCUGGGCUGACACUGACGCUGAAGUGCGAAAGCUAGGGGAGCGAACGGG